AGCGAACGCUGGCGGCAGGCCUAACACAUGCAAGUCGAGCGGAGCGAGGGUGCUUGCACCUUAGCUUAGCGGCGGACGGGUGAGUAAUGCUUAGGAAUCUGCCUAUUAGUGGGGGACAACAUUCCGAAAGGGAUGCUAAUACCGCAUACGCCCUACGGGGGAAAGCAGGGGAUCUUCGGACCUUGCGCUAAUAGAUGAGCCUAAGUCGGAUUAGCUAGUUGGUGGGGUAAAGGCCUACCAAGGCGACGAUCUGUAGCGGGUCUGAGAGGAUGAUCCGCCACACUGGGACUGAGACACGGCCCAGACUCCUACGGGAGGCAGCAGUGGGGAAUAUUGGACAAUGGGGGGAGCCCUGAUCCAGCCAUGCCGCGUGUGUGAAGAAGGCCUUUUGGUUGUAAAGCACUUUAAGCGAGGAGGAGGCGCUCUAGGUUUAUACCCUAGAUGCGUGGACGUUACUCGCAGAAUAAGCACCGGCUAACUCUGUGCCAGCAGCCGCAGUAAGAC
rnacentral:rRNA from 1 species